AGUGAACGCUGGCGGCAGGCCUAACACAUGCAAGUCGAACGGCAGCACAGUAAGAGCUUGCUCUUACGGGUGGCGAGUGGCGGACGGGUGGGGAAUAUAUCGGAAUCUACUUUUUCGUGGGGGAUAACGUAGGGAAACUUACGCUAAUACCGCAUACGACCUACGGGUGAAAGCAGGGGAUCUUCGGACCUUGCGCGAUUGAAUGAGCCGAUGUCGGAUUAGCUAGUUGGCGGGGUAAAGGCCCACCAAGGCGACGAUCCGUAGCUGGUCUGAGAGGAUGAUCAGCCACACUGGAACUGAGACACGGUCCAGACUCCUACGGGAGGCAGCAGUGGGGAAUAUUGGACAAUGGGCGCAAGCCUGAUCCAGCCAUACCGCGUGGGUGAAGAAGGCCUUCGGGUUGUAAAGCCCUUUUGUUGGGAAAGAAAAGCAGCAGGUUAAUACCCCGCUGUUCUGACGGUACCCAAAGAAUAAGCACCGGCUAACUUCGUG
rnacentral:rRNA from 1 species